rnacentral:rRNA from 1 species
CCGGUCAAAUAUUUAUAGGUACAGGAUGGGCCCGCGUCUGAUUAGCUAGUUGGCGAGGGUAACGGCCCACCAAGGCGACCGAUCAGUAGCCGUACUGAGAGGUAGAACGGCCACAUUGGGACUGAGACACGGCCCCAAACUCCUACGGGAGGGCAGCAGUAGGGGAAUAUUGGUCAAUGGGGGAAACCCUGAACCAGCGACGCCGCGUGAGUGAAGUAAGUAUUUCGGUAUGUAAAGCUCUAUCAGCAGGGACGAUAAUGACGGUACCUGACUAAGAAGCCCCGGCUAACUACGUGCC